GGGUUGUGAGGUUAAGCGACUAAGCGUACACGGUGGAUGCCCUGGCAGUCAGAGGCGAUGAAGGACGUGCUAAUCUGCGAUAAGCGUCGGUAAGGUGAUAUGAACCGUUAUAACCGGCGAUUUCCGAAUGGGGAAACCCAGUGUGAUUCGUCACACUAUCAUUACGUGAAUACAUAGCGUAAUGAAGCGAACCGGGGGAACUGAAACAUCUAAGUACCCCGAGGAAAAGAAAUCAACCGAGAUUCCCCCAGUAGCGGCGAGCGAACGGGGAGCAGCCCAGAGUCUGAAUCAGCUUGUGUGUUAGUGGAACGGUCUGGAAAGUCCGACGGUACAGGGUGAUAGUCCCGUACACCAAAAUGCACAGGUUGUGAACUCGAAGAGUAGGGCGGGACACGUGGUAUCCUGUCUGAAUAUGGGGGGACCAUCCUCCAAGGCUAAAUACUCCUGACUGACCGAUAGUGAACCAGUACCGUGAGGGAAAGGCGAAAAGAACCCCGGCGAGGGGAGUGAAAAAGAACCUGAAACCGUGUACGUACAAGCAGUGGGAGCCUCUUUAUGGGGUGACUGCGUACCUUUUGUAUAAUGGGUCAGCGACUUAUAUUCUGUAGCAAGGUUAACCGUAUAGGGGAGCCGAAGGGAAACCGAGUCUUAACUGGGCGUUAAGUUGCAGGGUAUAGACCCGAAACCCGGUGAUCUAGCCAUGGGCAGGUUGAAGGUUGGGUAACACUAACUGGAGGACCGAACCGACUAAUGUUGAAAAAUUAGCGGAUGACUUGUGGCUGGGGGUGAAAGGCCAAUCAAACCGGGAGAUAGCUGGUUCUCCCCGAAAGCUAUUUAGGUAGCGCCUCGUGAAUUCAUCUUCGGGGGUAGAGCACUGUUUCGGCUAGGGGGUCAUCCCGACUUACCAACCCGAUGCAAACUGCGAAUACCGAAGAAUGUUAUCACGGGAGACACACGGCGGGUGCUAACGUCCGUCGUGAAGAGGGAAACAACCCAGACCGCCAGCUAAGGUCCCAAAGUCAUGGUUAAGUGGGAAACGAUGUGGGAAGGCACAGACAGCCAGGAUGUUGGCUUAGAAGCAGCCAUCAUUUAAAGAAAGCGUAAUAGCUCACUGGUCGAGUCGGCCUGCGCGGAAGAUGUAACGGGGCUAAACCAUGCACCGAAGCUGCGGCAGCGACACUAUGUGUUGUUGGGUAGGGGAGCGUUCUGUAAGCCGUUGAAGGUGUAUCGUGAGGUAUGCUGGAGGUAUCAGAAGUGCGAAUGCUGACAUAAGUAACGAUAAUGCGGGUGAAAAACCCGCACGCCGGAAGACCAAGGGUUCCUGUCCAACGUUAAUCGGGGCAGGGUGAGUCGACCCCUAAGGCGAGGCCGAAAGGCGUAGUCGAUGGGAAACAGGUUAAUAUUCCUGUACUUGGUGUUACUGCGAAGGGGGGACGGAGAAGGCUAUGUUAGCCGGGCGACGGUUGUCCCGGUUUAAGCAUGUAGGCGGAGGUUCCAGGUAAAUCCGGUACCUUUUAACGCUGAGGUGUGAUGACGAGGCACUACGGUGCUGAAGUAACAAAUGCCCUGCUUCCAGGAAAAGCCUCUAAGCAUCAGGUAACACGAAAUCGUACCCCAAACCGACACAGGUGGUCAGGUAGAGAAUACCAAGGCGCUUGAGAGAACUCGGGUGAAGGAACUAGGCAAAAUGGUGCCGUAACUUCGGGAGAAGGCACGCUGAUAUGUAGGUGAAGUGAUUUACUCAUGGAGCUGAAAUCAGUCGAAGAUACCAGCUGGCUGCAACUGUUUAUUAAAAACACAGCACUGUGCAAACACGAAAGUGGACGUAUACGGUGUGACGCCUGCCCGGUGCCGGAAGGUUAAUUGAUGGGGUUAUCCGUAAGGAGAAGCUCUUGAUCGAAGCCCCGGUAAACGGCGGCCGUAACUAUAACGGUCCUAAGGUAGCGAAAUUCCUUGUCGGGUAAGUUCCGACCUGCACGAAUGGCGUAAUGAUGGCCAGGCUGUCUCCACCCGAGACUCAGUGAAAUUGAACUCGCUGUGAAGAUGCAGUGUACCCGCGGCAAGACGGAAAGACCCCGUGAACCUUUACUAUAGCUUGACACUGAACACUGGUCCUUGAUGUGUAGGAUAGGUGGGAGGCUUUGAAGUGUGGACGCCAGUCUGCAUGGAGCCAUCCUUGAAAUACCACCCUUUAAUGGCUGGUGUUCUAACGUGGACCCGUAAUCCGGGUUGCGGACAGUGUCUGGUGGGUAGUUUGACUGGGGCGGUCUCCUCCUAAAGAGUAACGGAGGAGCACGAAGGUUAGCUAAUCCUGGUCGGACAUCAGGAGGUUAGUGCAAAGGCAUAAGCUAGCUUGACUGCGAGAGUGACGGCUCGAGCAGGUGCGAAAGCAGGUCUUAGUGAUCCGGUGGUUCUGAAUGGAAGGGCCAUCGCUCAACGGAUAAAAGGUACUCCGGGGAUAACAGGCUGAUACCGCCCAAGAGUUCAUAUCGACGGCGGUGUUUGGCACCUCGAUGUCGGCUCAUCACAUCCUGGGGCUGAAGUAGGUCCCAAGGGUAUGGCUGUUCGCCAUUUAAAGUGGUACGCGAGCUGGGUUUAGAACGUCGUGAGACAGUUCGGUCCCUAUCUGCCGUGGGCGCUGGAGAAUUGAGGGGGGCUGCUCCUAGUACGAGAGGACCGGAGUGGACGCAUCACUGGUGUUCGGGUUGUCAUGCCAAUGGCAUUGCCCGGUAGCUAAAUGCGGAAGAGAUAAGUGCUGAAAGCAUCUAAGCACGAAACUUGCCCCGAGAUGAGUUCUCCCUGAGACUUUAAGUCUCCUGAAGGAACGUUAAAGACGAUGACGUUGAUAGGUCGGGUGUGUAAGUGUAGCGAUACAUUGAGCUAACCGAUACUAAUGAACCGUGAGGCUUAACCUUACAACGCCGAAG
rnacentral:rRNA from 1 species